UACGGAGGAUGCAAGCGUUAUCCGGGAUUACUGGGCGUAAAGCGCACGCAGGCGGCAGCUUAAGUCUGACGUGAAAUCUCCUGGCUUAACUGGGAGAGGUCGUUGGAAACUGGGCAGCUUGAGGUGGGGAGAGGGGUGCAGAAUUCCCGGUGUAGUGGUGGAAUGCGUAGAUAUCGGGAGGAAUACCAGUGGCGAAAGCGGCGCCCUGGCACUGACCUGACGCUCAUGUGCGAAAGCGUGGGGAGCAAACGGG
rnacentral:rRNA from 1 species